rnacentral:lncRNA from 1 species
GGAAGAGCAAGUAGCAAUGAAAAGGCUGACGCUGCCCAGCAGGAAUACGGCAGCAUGUGGUUGUGAGUCCAAACUGCCUACUGGUUGGAAGGAAAUGGGGGCGGGGAAUCCUAAUCCUAACGGGAAAAGGCAGACGCGCCCUCUCCUGGCAUCUCGGAAGAAUUCUGUUUCACUUUCUAGACCGCCAGCUCGUCAGGCUCCGCCUGCCGGAUCUUUGACAUCAAUCACCCUUGAGUUAACCUCCAGAACUGGGCAGAGGGGUAGCGUGUCAGUGCCCGCCCCCACACGUAAUUCCCGAGUGUCCCUCCUGCGUCUGUUAGGGGUGCCUGGGCUCCUACAGAGCCCACAGGGGGGUGUAGCCACAGGUGCUCUGCUAUGUGACUGGCUCCCUGCUCCUCUUCUCCACUGGUGCCAGACCAUACUUGCUCCAACAUGGCCAUCUAAGAAGAUGAACCAGGAGAAUGUGGUGAGCUGA